rnacentral:rRNA from 1 species
CGCCCAACAGCUAGCCCACCUAAACAAAUUCAACAAGCCCCUGUAAAUACCCCCUAAAUACCCCAGUAUUUAAAUUAAACAAACCAUUUUUCCCCCUUAGUAUAGGCGAUAGAAAAGGGACUACGGCGCAAUAGAGAAAGUACCGCAAGGGAAUGCUGAAAGAGAAAUGAAACAACCCAGUAAAGCCCAAAGAAGCAGAGCUUUAAACUCGUACCUUUUGCAUCAUGAUUUAGCGAGUGUACCCCAAGCAAAGAGCACUUUAGUUUGACGUCCCGAAACUACGUGAGCUACUCCAAGACAGCCUAUUAAUAGGGCCUACCCGUCUCUGUUGCAAAAGAGUGGGGAGAGCUUUGAGUAGAGGUGACAAACCUACCGAACCUAGUUAUAGCUGGUUGUCCAAGAAAUGAAUAGAAGUUCAGCCUCUUGGCUUCUCUUUUCACCCUAGUUUAACCCCUAUUGAUGCACUAAAGAAACUGAGAGAGUUAGUCAAAGGGGGUACAGCCCCUUUGAAUCAAGACACAACUUUACCAGGAGGGUAAAGAUCAUA